CUUUAAACAGCUGGUAAUGGUAAUUUAAUCAUUUAUUAUUAUUAUUAUUAUUAGCAUUCAUAUAGCACCAACAUAUUCCGUAACACUUUACAAUAUUUAUCAUAUCUGAUACCGGAAUGAAAAGUGUAGACCAAAAUAUCGGCGCUGAAAAAAACAGUUGAGUUGGAGAAUGUUACCUAUUUCGUUUUUUGGUCUAAUACUCUAACGUAUCGAUUCCAAAAAC